UUGCUGCACCUGAAAUAGCUGCAUUUUGGCUGCUGUCUGUAGAUUCCUUUAUGCACAACUUGUAUUCUUUUGGAUGUUUCAUACCAAAUGUUUUAACAGCGGCGAUGUUGUGUAUUGUUUAGGGUCCUUGCCACCACGAGACAAAUCGGCAUUGCAAAUUGAACAUGUAGCUCGACUUGAAUGGCCUUCUUUUGACUGAAAGUACUGCCAAACAACACUGUUUCUGUUCACGAGUUCCAUUUUCACUUUCUCACUGCCU